GUUUGGCUUAAGAGUUUUGCUGAUCUGGGGCUGAAAUGGUCUCAUUUUCUUUUACACUCCCCUUAUGACUGGUGAGCCUGGGCGUCUUCUCAUUCGGCUGUUGACUUUGUACGCUUCCCCACAUCAGUUUUCCUGUGGGUGAUGGCGCGUGCCUCCCGCCAUCCCGCACGAACUGCACCCAAGUGGUCCAGAUGCUGGCACCUGAUCCCUCCCACCAUGAAGGUUCCCGUCAACCUUUUAGUUAAAAGUUCCCAUCCCUUGGCCUUUCUCUGAAUCUGUUAUCUGCGUUUACAAAAUGGCGACUGUAGUUCCUGCCACUUUCAUCAGCUAAAAUUCUGCAGUAAUACUCAGAUUUUUAGCGUGCAUAUUUGACGUCAGGAAAACAAGGGACUUUCUGGAGCUUGCCCCACGUACGAACUGGAAGAUGAGAAUGUGAAAGUGGACACUGUUUCAUUUAGGGCUCAGUAACGCUGGCAGUCGGCCGUCAGCAGCAGGAGGAGGUUCUCAAAUCCAAGAGGUCGGAGGCCCGGAAGUGGAGGAGGUUUCACUGCGAAAGGUGCCAGUCAACGGCGCCACGAUACCUGUAGUUCCCGGCGGUCUGAGGGGCCGGAGGCUCUAGGGCGGGGCAUCUUCUCCCGCCUGAAUGGCUUCCAAGAUGUCACUGUUCGGGCCCUCGCUCCAGUGGACACGUGUCUGAUGACUCGGGGUGGGGGCUGCGGGAACAUCCCCAGGUUUGGAGGGACGGCCUCCGACAGCCAGUACGCGCAGCGGCCGGUCCUGCUGCGGGGCCGCUUUCGUAGUGGCGGCUACGUCUGUCCUAACGUGACCGGGAAAUAGCUCCCCGAGUCGUGACACAGCUUCCAAGAUGGUCGCGCGGAAGGCCGGACACUUGCAUUCUCAUUUACGGUCCUCAUUUACGGUCCCGUCUGUCUCGCGUCAGCUGUGCUUGGGUGGCACCUGAUGAGGCAAGAGCAGUUUUCUCCGUGGAGCCAUUACGGAAGAGCUUGCGUCACCACCCGGAGUUCACGUGAUCCUGGCCGUGUCCGAUACGCUGAUGCUCGAUCGCCGGCGAAUCCAGAGCGAUAAAAAUGUACGCUCCACACCCCUGCCCCCACCCCUAGAAAGGCGAUCUAAAAACAGUGUUAGCAACACCCGAGGCCGCAAACCAAGAGCCAGGCAUGAAGGCAGCAACACAUUCAUGCGCUUUGAUGAUGUCGGGCACUGGAAAUGGACGUGACCACGUUCUUUAAGCUUCCCUGCUCUACAGUAACGCCAGCUGCCGGUGGCCAGCAGGGGUGUUCAACUUGAAGCUUUGAAGCUUUGCACGGCACCCCUGGCUCUGUGAAACCUUGCGGGAGAAGACAAUGCACCUUUUCUGCUCCCAGGAAAAGGCAUUGUUUCCGUUGUUAAUGCUUGGCAAGCUUUAUGGGUAAACGCCCUUUUUGGCUUGGCCUCUGCCUUAUAUGAGCCACCCAAAGAGGUCGCAGUGUGUGCAUCGUGCGAGCAGUUUGUUGCAAAAGAGCAGGGAGCAGAGUCCAGACCGAAAAACAAACGUAACGCCCACAAAGCCACACGACUACAGCCAGUAUCUAAUAAAUUUAGAAAUAUGUGGGGCUUCCUCGGGGUGGGGCUGAAUCUGGAGACCCGGUCUCAUACCCGAUUCUUGCCCCUCCUUGUCCUGCCGCUAAUUAGUGCAGUCCGGGUGCUAUCAGCUCAGAUGAAGGUCUUGGCUCCACAGGAGCUGUGAAAUCCACUCUAGGUUUCGCUUCUGCUGUUUGUGCACCCUCACAGCCCCUAGCCGGUCUAGCCCCGCCUGGGCCUUUAAUUCUGUGGGUCCCUGAGCUUUUAAUCAUACAAUAUACGUGUAUGUGCAGGGGUUUUUUUCCGUGGCAUUUAGUGGCCUCAUUAUCCAGGAUUUUUAUUUUGUAGGAAAUCCACGGAUUGUUCAAAUGAA